rnacentral:lncRNA from 1 species
CUGGUGAAUUACCAGAUCUCCGUCAAGUGCAGUAACCAGUUCAAGUUGGAAGUGUGUCUUUUGAAUGCAGAAAACAAAGUCGUGGACAACCAGGCUGGGACCCAGGGCCAGCUGAAGGUGCUGGGUGCCAACCUCUGGUGGCCGUACCUGAUGCACGAACACCCCGCCUACCUGUACUCGUGGGAGGAUGGUGAUUGCUCACACCAAAGCCUUGGACCCCUCCCAGCCUGUGACCUUUGUGACCAACUCCACCUACGCAGCAGACAAGGGGGCUCUGUAUGUGGAUGUGAUCCGUGUGAACAGCUACUACUCUUGGUAUCGCAACUACGGGCACCUGGAGUUGAUUCAGCUGCAGCUGGCCGCCCAGUUUGAGAAUUGGUGUAAGACAUCACAAUCCCAUUAUUCAGAGCGCGUAUGGAGUGGAAACGCUUGUAGGGCUUCACCAGG